UUUCUCGGGAUAUGAUAUGCUGGAGUGCGGUAAUUGCAGAUGCAGCGGUGAGAAUGGGAUCGACAGUCACGUGUGGGUUCGCCGCAUGCCCUCCCUUUCCUUGUAUUGUGGCUGAGAAUCUACCAGCCCCUGCUAGCAUUGGACCAGGUCUCGAACCGACGCUGCCAGUUUCCAAAAGCGGCAAAACAUGUAAGCCAAAGAUGGCUUGGAACUGAUCGAGUGCCCCUUCUCGUAGCAUAUGGUAUGCACCGGCACGACCUUCUUCUCCGGGUUGGAAGACGAGUUUGAUCGUGCCCUUUCAGAAGACAAUGCCCAAAAAGAGAUCAGUCACCAAAGAUCGAACUGGGGAUUAGUAAUUAGAUUCUUCUAAGUUGCUCUGGACUAUAAUUUUACCUUCAAAGAAUCCUUCUUGCUGCUGAGCAAUCUGGCUGCUCCUAGAAGCAUGGUUGUAUGAGCAUCAUGACCACAAGCAUGCAUUUUGCCAUCGUUCUUGCUCUUAUGUUCCCACUCUACCAAUUCCUUAGCUCGAUCAAGGGGAAAAAAAGGGUGUUACUGACAUUAAAAUUGCUGCAUUUCGGUAUACAGUUACUUAACAAGACGAAGAUAUAUGGGGUCAGUACUCCUUAUAUCAGUAGGUGCAUGAUGGAAUCAAGGAGUUUACGAUCAAUAUUAUGUCUCGUUUAAUCUUGUUUGAAGCUAGGAAUAUGAGUAUGCAAACCCAAUUGCUCGCUAAGCCAGGAGCAAAACUUGGCUUCAAAAAUGGGUUCUUCAAUCCUAAGGAUGAGCAUAUAGAACCGCUUGAACCAGACCAGACCGGACUGAACUGACUGGUUUUAGGUGGUUCUAAGGGCACCGAUCCAGUUUCCAAUUCCAAAACCUAUAAUUUGGUUCUAGUCGAGAGCCGGACCAAACCUAAUUAUGUUUUUUAUAUAUAUUUUUUAAUUUCUUAAAGAAGUAAAGUGUAAGCCUAAAUUCUACUAUCCUUUUGCUUCUUUCAUAUUGCUGCAUCAAUUCAUCCAACUUGCUCAUUUUGUCUCUUGCUUCUUUCUAUAUUUUACUUUCUUUCUUUUCCUACAAAGAAUCAUCAAUUUAACCUCCAUCGUUUACUUGCACCUUCCUUAAACUGAAUCCUCCUCCUUUUUUCGAGGGUGCCUCUACAAUCAUGGCUCCAUCAUCUCUCAAUUUUCUUCACAAAUCUUGGACAAAAUCCCAAUGUCAGGUGGUCCCGUUUCCAGUUCUAGAAAUGGGGCAUCAAUCCUCUUAGUCCAGUUCGCAAUUUCAGGGUAGAAUCUGACCGGACUGGAAUUCAAUCACCCCUAAAUCAAUCCCCGCCUUCUCUUUUAGUUUUGUUGCUCAAAGAUGGGAUCCAUACGCGACGAAGAAUCCUUAUCCGAUCCAUCUGAUUCAGAUCAGAAUCUUCUAAAGCUACACAUGGAAAUCUCUUCGGUUGUCGUCGAGCUUUAAAAGAACAUGCUUUUGCUGUGUUGGAUGCGACGACCCCCGAGACCCACAAGCGGAAUCUUUCUACUGCAGAAAACCAAUUCCAACUUGGAAACCUAUGGAGAAACGACUUGCUCUCACGAUGACGGAGCGUUUGACUCUGAAAGUCUAGAGAGAGAGAGAGAGAGGAACCUGAACAGGGAGGGCGUCCAUGUCGGCCCGGAGAGCGAACCAGGGUUGGUCGCCCGACCCGAUCGACGCCACGACCCCAGUCUCGGCCACUGGCCACUUGUACUUGAUCCCGAGCGCGUCUAGUUCCGACCGGACGAGCCGACUCGUCUCGUGCUCUUGGAAAGCCAGUUCCGGUCGCUCGUGGAUCCUCCUUCUGACGCUCCUCAACCAGCCGAAGAACUCCGGCUCCCUCGCCGCCGCCAACAGCUGCCGCCCCAGAGAACUCAGCUCCAAAUCCGAACCCGUAUCCGACGUGGAUCCUGAAGCCCGUACGGUCUCACAGGCGAGCGCCGCCGCCGCCACCACCACCAGUAACGAGAUGAAACGGUUGUGGGGUUCCAUCGCUGCUUUUCACGAGGUUGCGAGAGGGAGGCGGAGGAGCGUCGGCGGCGUCGGUGGCGUCGGCGUCAGGGUGGGGGGCGAUGGAAGCAACCAGCGGAGGCGGAGGGCUCAACCUUUCUUCUCCAACAAACUCGCCUCCAAGCCUUCCGGUGUGUGAGGGUCUCGCUCGGCGGGUGACGCUCGCUGACGUUGAGGGGAGCUCGAAGAGGCCUGCUUCUCCUCCGCGUGUUGCAUCUGCGAUCCCGGGAACGCCGGAACGAAGACGACGGAGCAGCAACGAGCCCAAAGAGAGAAGCGAGCGAGCACCGCGGCCGUAAUGUGGUUCGUCGGCGACGGCAGGGGAACAGCCGCUUGAUGCACGGCGGAGCAGAAACGAGCACGGAGAGAGAGAAAUUUUCAGAUUCAAAUUUUCGAAAGGAAAAAAAAUGGAGAGGGACUGAGGAACGAACGAGGCUUCUCUUUCUUACGUUUGAGAAAGAAAGACAAAAGCUUAAACCGCAAUAAAUGCUCUGACAGGAGAGAGAGUGUGCAGGUUAGGAGGAGAGAGGGCUCGGCAGGCUAGGAAGAGGAGAGAGAGAGAGAGGUGAAGAAGGCAUAAGGCACUAAAUGGGCCCACCCCUCCACAUGGCACCUCGUGAGUGGCAGGGGACCACGCUGACGUGGAGCUCCCGGACCACCACCCAAUAUUUUCUCAAAGAAGUCACCUCAAAUUGCGCCACGUGUCCAACGUGGGCCCACAUUGUGUUCCAAUUUCUUCUCACUCUCCUCUCUCUUCUCUCUCCCUUCUCUGCACGCUCUCUCGCCCAACUCUCUCUCUCUCUCUCUCCGCCGCAGUUUCUCUUCGCCAUGCGAUAUUUUCUCGGGCGAGGAGAGCGGACGAACAGCCGGCCACGUGUCCAACGUGGGCCCACAUUGUGAGCCCAGUGAGAAAAUAUUGCACACCCUUUUCUCCAAAUUUCUUCUCACUUUUCUCUCUCCUCUCUCCCUAAUUUUAGGCGUGCAUUUAAUAACAUUUCUAUUUAAAAAUUAUUUCAGGGAACAGAAAUAGAAAAAAGUGUUUCUGUUCCGAGAAACAAUUUUUGAAUAAAAAAUGCAUUUGGUAAACUUGUUCCGAAAAUAAAAAAUGAACAGAAACACAUUUGAUGAAUUUGUGUUAUUUUUUUGUUUCUUUUAAUUUUUUAAUUUUUUAAUUUUAUUUUUCUCUAUUUUUCUUUUUUAUUUUUUUCUUCUUUUGCCCGGUCGCCGGCCUCAGCCAUGGUCGACGGCCUCGGCCAUGGUCAGCGGCCUCGCCCAGCCACGGUGAGCUCGACCUCGCUAGGGGCCGGCAACGCUUCAGCAAGGUCACCAGCCCUCAACGGCAUCGCCGGCCCUUAACGGCCGAUUGCCGGCCAUGGCUGAGGCCAGCGACCGGCCAAAGAAAAAAGAAAAAGAAAAGAAGAAAAAAAAAGAUAAAAAAGAGAGGAGAGAGAAAAUUUGUUCUUAAAUUUUGUUAUAGAAACAAGAAAUACGUUUUUCUUGUUUUUUUUUUUUUUUGUUUCAAAUGUGUUUCUAAGAACAAAAAAAUAGAUUUGGAACAAAAACGUAAACAAACAUGUUUCUGUUCUUUUUUUGUUCCCUAAAAUAAAAAAUAGAAAUUUUAUUCAUAAACAGAAAUAAAAAACGUUAACAAAUAGGGCCUUAUUUGCUACGUCGAGACGUGCUUAAUAUUUUCUCAACGGGAGAAGGACCCGUGCUUUUUAUCGAAUCAUCCUCAGAUACAUCGACGGGCACAAAAACCAUCAUGGGACUCGGUUUCUUGCUUUUGAUUUUUGGCUCUGUUCCGAAAAGGACCGCCCCAAAAUUUCUUGGUCUUCAUGACAGCGCAUCAGUAAAAUUAUUGUUGCAUAGGAUCCAACUUUUUUUCACCCGAAAUUAUUUAUCUUCCGAUCAUUCGGCCUCAAAAUUGUUAAGGGCCUUCGAUUUUGUUAUAAUUAAUGUUAUCAAUAAAUAUAAGCAAACAUUAUUAUUUUUCACAAAAUAUGGAGACAUUUUUUCAGGUAAUUGAAUUGAUUGCAUAACACAUCGUCUAUUUGCUUCUUGUUUAAAAAAUGAAAAUGUUGAGGGCAACACAUAAAUAUAAGAAAAUGGAGAAAAAAAGUGCUCGUCAAAUUUGAUAUUUUGUAGGAAAAUUAAUAAAAAAGUCAUAGACCUAUUGUAAUUAUGCCAAUUUAGUCUUAAACUUUUUUUCCCCAAUUCAGUUCUAAACCUUUUGCAUUUAUAUUAAUUGAGUCUAUUUGGCCAAUUUUAAUCAGGUGGAGCUGACGUGGCACUAUUGGUGCUAACAUGGCAUUUUUAAAAUAAUAUUUUGUUUUUUUAAUAAUUUUCUUUAAUUUUCCCCCCUUCCCCUUCCCCUUCCCCUUCCCCAUCCCUUAGAGCCGACGAGGGCAUCUUGCCCCUCGCCAACUCUCGGUGAGAGUGUUCCGGCCCUUGCCUAGUCGGGUGAGGGCUGUGAUGCCCUCACUUGAUCUACCCUCACUAGACCAGGUCAGGUGAGGUUGUUGUGGCCCUCACCUAGCUAGAUUUAGCGAGGGUGUUGCGGCCCUUGUCUAUGGCCAACGAAGGUCGAUUGAUGACUCUCGCUGGCUCAAAGGGGAAAGGGAAGGGGAAGAGGGAAAAAAUUAAGAUAUUAUUUUAAAAAUGCCACGUGAGCAUUUUUCUGGCCAAAAUUAACUGUAAUCACCCUCGCCUAUGGCUGACAAAGAUCAGCCGAUGACUCUCGCAGGCUUUAAGGAAAGGGGAAGGGGAAGAGGGAAAAAAUUAAGAUAUUAUUUUUAAAAAUGCCACGUGAGCGUUGGCUGACUAAAAUUAGCUAAAUGGACUCAACUGACGCAAAUGUAGAAAGUUUAGUACUAAUUAAAAAAAAUUAAGACUGAAUUGACACAAUUGCAAUAAGUUUAGGACUUUUAUGGUAAUUCUCUUGAUCUUUUUUCUCAUAAUAAUUUCAUCCACUAUUGAAAUGAAUGUGGACCUCCAAAUUUGAUAGCUAGAAUGCUACAAUCAUUAAAUGGUCCAAGUUUAGUAAAGUAAAAUGCUACAAUCAUGUAAUAACUAGAAUGAGGCCCUCGUGAUGUCGUGGGAAAAACUAAAUUUUUUAUGUAACAAAUUGUCAAGCCAAUGGAUUAUUUCAACAUCAUUAUCUUUCUUAGAAAGAAUGCUUUUGUUGAAACAUAAUUAUAUAUCAUUAGAUUUAGGCUUAAUCGUACCGUCUAACAACAAUAUCAUAAAACUCUAAUCUCUCAUCCUAAAUUUGAUUUUCAUAUAAUAAAUUCACAAAGGGAACAUUAAUGGAUUCAUUGGUGGAAAAAAGGGAAUUUAAAAUUACUCUUUGCUUAAAAGAAAAGUUAAAAAUUAACAAGGUUAUUUCACUAAUAGAUUCACAAAAGUAACAAAAUAAAGAGCAAAAAAAGGAAAAAAAAACUAAGCUAUAUGAAACCUUAUGUUUUUGGAGGAGAAGAAAUAUAAACCUACUUUCAAUAGUCUAGGAAUGAUAUAAACUUCAAUCCAACAUGUCCUACACAUAAGCAACACCUAUGUAGCCUUUCCUCAACCUUUCCAAUUCUUCCAUUGUUAUCUUUCGUCCCGGCUAGCAUGUGAUAUCCCGUGUCACGUAAGCAAAGUUAUGGCUGGAUCUUAUAUACAUUCGAUCUCACUUCAUGUUAGGUUUUCUAAACCUCAUGUAAAGCACAUAAACUGGAUACAUCCUAUAUCUUCUGGUCUUGCCUUUGGCCAUCUCCAGUCGAAACCAUCGACAUUGGCAUGCAAACGAAGGUCUGCGUUCAAACGUUUGAUCAAGCUGAGAUUUUACUGAGCAGAGAGGGCCAAAUGGGUGCCCGUCACCAGACCUUUUCACGCCUUGCAAAGCUUUUAAUUUCAUCAGAAUUCUCCGCCAAGAAUCCGAUGAUCCAGAAGGUGUAGCCUACGCCGAAUUAGAACAUAUUGUUCCUAAAAUUACAUUGCAUCAAGAUUCAUCCGUGCAAUAUCUACAAGUCCGCAAGAUCUACAUGGCCCCAAGCUUCCAAUGAAACAGAAAAGGGUCCUGUCUUUUUUGAAAAACUAGCUGUACAAAGCUACCGAACAAUAUCUGCUCAUAUCCCACCCGUGUGUCCGUCCAAGUACGAUAUAGCGACCGCUGCGUGGAGAGCGGCUCCGAUGGGUAGAACUUCCUCAUCAAGGAAAAAGUAUGGGGAGUGCAGCGCCUUAUCCGAUCCCAGUGUUGCGUUUUUCAUGCCGAUCAUGAAAAAUGCGGUCCUCAUCUUCUCCGAGUAGAAGCUGAAAUCUUCUGCUCCCAUGGUCAUCGGCAGAAGGUGCACUCGGGAUUCGCCAAGCAGGGCUUCGCUGACGCCUUUUGCAUGCCCGUACAUUGUCUCAUCAUUCACAGUAGCAGGGUAAGGCCUCAUUUUUUCUUCCAUGAAGUCGACCGUCGCGUUGCACCGAUGCACGGCUGCCUGCAACUCUAUUACCUGCAGCAGUUCAGGUGGCGGAAAUUAAAGCUGAUCCUCAUUUCUAAGAAACUAAAUGAUAGAUGAAUGUUGCAAUUUAUGUAUUACAACUUCAAUAAAAACACACAAUACAGGGAGCUUUCAACGCUUCUCUUAUGUCAUCUAAUAAGGAGCAAUCUCAUGCAAACCAGACGACUUGGAAAUUGACGGUAAAUCUAGCGAUGUAUAUGUGGAGCGACAGUCACCUCUUUGAUCCUCUGUUUUAGACUAUACAAGCCAUCUGAAGUCAUGCUCCUAAAAGUUCCUGCAAACCGGACGAUCUCUGGUAUUACGUUCAAAGCUUGGCCACCCUCAAUGAAGCCCACCGUGAUCACCUGUGCAUGAGAUCAAAAUAUACCAACUCUAAUUGGGGGAAUUCAGGCAAUACAUAAAAGGAAAAAGAAGUUACAGCACGCAAAAACAGAGAAUGGUUUGGGUCAUUUUGUUAAGGUGUUUAAGAAUAAUGAAUUUACCUGGGCCACAAGAGGAUCUGUUUCUCGGGAUAUGAUAUGCUGGAGUGCGGUAAUUGCAGAUGCAGCGGCGAGAAUGGGAUCGACAGUCACGUGUGGGUUCGCCGCAUGCCCUCCCUUUCCUUGUAUUGUGGCUGAGAAUCUACCAGCCCCUGCUAGCAUUGGACCAGGUCUCGAACCGACGCUGCCGGUUUCCAUAAGUGGCAAAACAUGUAAGCCAAAGAUGGCUUGGAACUGAUCGAGUGCCCCUUCUCGUAGCAUAUGGUAUGCACCGGCACGACCUUCUUCUCCGGGUUGGAAGACGAGUUUGAUCGUGCC
rnacentral:lncRNA from 1 species